CCCUUAGAGUUUGAUCCUGGCUCAGGACGAACGCUGGCGGCGUGCCUAAUACAUGCAAGUCGAACGAAACUUUCUUACACCGAAUGCUUGCAUUCACCGUAAGAAGUUGAGUGGCGGACGGGUGAGUAACACGUGGGUAACCUGCCUAAAAGAAGGGGAUAACACUUGGAAACAGGUGCUAAUACCGUAUAUCUCUAAGGAUCGCAUGAUCCUUAGAUGAAAGAUGGUUCUGCUAUCGCUUUUAGAUGGACCCGCGGCGUAUUAACUAGUUGGUGGGGUAACGGCCUACCAAGGUGAUGAUACGUAGCCGAACUGAGAGGUUGAUCGGCCACAUUGGGACUGAGACACGGCCCAAACUCCUACGGGAGGCAGCAGUAGGGAAUCUUCCACAAUGGACGCAAGUCUGAUGGAGCAACGCCGCGUGAGUGAAGAAGGUCUUCGGAUCGUAAAACUCUGUUGUUAGAGAAGAACACGAGUGAGAGU
rnacentral:rRNA from 1 species